UCCCCAUAUCCCUCUAUGCUGACCCCCGACCUUGCCGCUGUCACCUGUCGCUGCCAUCGCGUCGCCCUACCGCUGUCGGUUGCCUCUUUUUCUUCUUGUUUCCUUUUGUUGUACUCUAAUAUUUUUUGUAUCUAGUGUUGCAAAAGAGGUAGAUCGAAUUAUACGACAUGAAAUCAGAUUGAAGGAGAAGAUGAACGAAGCACUGCCGCCGGCACGCGUCGUCGCCGCCUGCUGCACGUGCCAACGCCGAACUCCAACUGAGGGUGCUGUUCUGGUCCUUGAUGUCCAAUGCGCUGCUCCCAAGGUCCGAGUGUCUUCGGCGAUCGUUCGAUUUCAUUUUUGGAUUAUCAAACUUCAAGGGUAACGAUCGGAACUAUUUGCACAUAUUAAUGCAUAUUGUGAUGUGUUCUUGAUAUUUGCAAAAUAUAUUAUAUGAAAUGAUUGUACGAUUUGAUUGUGUACUAUUUUUCGAUUGGUUAGUAGUAAUUUAAUUUUGAAUUGAAUUAAUUAAUACGCAUGUUUGUUCUUGCAGGAGCGAUUAAGGUACGCGACUAGUCUAUGUGCGCUUAUGACAUGUUUUAUGUAACACUUUUUUGGUGCAUAUAUAUGUAUCGAUUUCCAACAUGUCG
rnacentral:lncRNA from 1 species